rnacentral:lncRNA from 1 species
AAAAAAAAAAAAAAAAAAAGCGGAAGAGAUCUCAUGGAGACAAAAUUCUAGGUGUCUAUGGAUCAAACAUGAUGAAAGAAAUAUAAAGUUUUUUUCACAAACAGGCCAAUGCACACAAGAUAUAUAAUUGUAUUGACUAAAUAAUAAUUGAUGAGGAACUGGUGGAUGAUGAGAAGGUCAUAACGGAUCACAUCCAAGGCUUUUAUGACUAAUUAUUCAGGGAAACAGAAGAAUGGAG